UACGAAGGGGGCUAGCGUUGCUCGGAAUCACUGGGCGUAAAGGGCGCGUAGGCGGCGUUUUAAGUCGGGGGUGAAAGCCUGUGGCUCAACCACAGAAUGGCCUUCGAUACUGGGACGCUUGAGUAUGGUAGAGGUUGGUGGAACUGCGAGUGUAGAGGUGAAAUUCGUAGAUAUUCGCAGGAACACCGGUGGCGAAGGCGGCCAACUGGACCAUUACUGACGCUGAGGCGCGAAAGCGUGGGGAGCGAACAGG
rnacentral:rRNA from 1 species